UACGAACUGUGCAAACGUUAUUCGGAAUCACUGGGCUUAAAGGGUGCGUAGGCGGCUUAUCAAGUAGGGUGUGAAAGCCCCCGGCUUAACCGGGGAAUUGCGCCCUAAACUGACGAGCUGGAGUGGGACAGGGGUGUGUGGAACUUCCGGUGGAGCGGUGAAAUGUGUUGAUAUCGGAAGGAACGCCGGUGGCGAAAGCGACACACUGGGUCUCAACUGACGCUGAAGCACGAAAGCCAGGGGAGCGAACGGG
rnacentral:rRNA from 1 species